UCCCACCUACAAGGAGGCGUUGGGGCUAGUGAUUGAAUCAGGCCCCAAUGGCCACUGAUUUAAUCAGUCAUGUCUAUGAAAUGAAGCCUCCAUAAAACUCAAAAGAAUAGGUUUCAGAGAGCUCCCAGGCUGAGCUUAUAGACAAACAAGGAGAAUUUAUUUCCUCUUCCAGAUGGAGCAGCAAAGUAGCCUUUUCCGUGUUGGGAAUGCAAAGUACUCUCCUCCCUGUUUGAGCCUGCAACUGAUCACAAGUGAUGGGGCAUGAGAGCUCCCCCUUCUGGCCUUCUGACUCCAUCUUAAAAGAGUUACUCAGUUUCACACUACAACAGAUGAUCUAAUUUGUGACACAUUCCAGUUUUAACAAUGCUGAAAUCAAAUGACUCCUUGUUUUCUUUGGAUACUUUGUUUUUUGAAAAACCAGAUGAAGCUGAAAACUAUCCAGACAAUGAAAAAUUAUUGGAUUGGUUUCUCCCACCUGUUCCAUUGAUUUCAGAAAUUCCAGAUACUCAGGCAUUAGAGGAGGAAAUAGAAAGUCAUAAACUGUUAGGUCAGGAAGAAAGGCCAAAAAUGUUACCAUCAAAUUUAAAGAUGACUAAUGAAAACACAAAUUAUAUUUCACCAACACAAAAAUUCCAAUUUGCCUUUUCCUCAAAUAAAUGUGAAACAGGUGAUCUGAAUUUAACAGAAGCAGGUAACCAUGACUUACCACGUGUUCCUGGGAAGCUGACCUAUGGUUCUCAGAAAUACAAAAAUCACAUUGGCACCGAGAUAGCACCUGAGAAAAAUGUUUCAGGUAAUACAAAAUUAGUAAAUUUUGCAGAAGAUAAAGGAGAGAGCACAUCAGCCUUCCGAAAAAGAUUAUUUAAAAUAUCUGACAAUAUACAUGAGGGUGUUUAUUCUAAUGACAGUACAAACUUGGAGUCUUCUGUUGGCUCAGUGAAAAUUGUCCCAACAGAAAUGAACAAAGGGGAAUCAUGGAAAUGUAGCAAUAGUAAGCAGAAACAUCAAUAUUCAGACAUUAAUAUGUUUACAGCAAGCAAUGCUGUUUCAGCUUCUGAAAUCAGAGAAGACAUAUUCAAAGGACCAACUUUUUCAGUUGCAUCCCAACCUCAUGAAGUUCAAGGGGUAACAGAAAAUGAUUUAGAUUCUUUGAAGGCUGUCACAGAAAUCCCUGCAAAAUUUAGAAGUAUUUUCAAAGAAUUCCCAUAUUUCAACUAUAUACAGUCCAAAGCUUUUGAUGAUCUUCUUUACACAGAUAGGAAUUUUGUGAUUUGUGCUCCAACUGGUUCUGGGAAAACUGUGGUGUUUGAACUAGCUAUAACAAGAUUGUUAAUGGAAGUACCAUUGCCAUGGUCAAACAUAAAAAUUGUUUAUAUGGCACCAAUAAAAGCCCUGUGUAGUCAGCGUUUCGAUGAUUGGAAAGAAAAAUUUGGACCAAUAGGAUUGAAUUGUAAAGAACUCACUGGAGAUACAGUAAUGGAUGACCUAUUUGAGAUCCAACAUGCCCAUAUUAUUAUGACAACUCCCGAAAAAUGGGAUAGCAUGACUAGGAAAUGGAGAGACAACUCUUUGGUCCAGCUGGUUAGACUCUUUCUCAUUGAUGAGGUACAUGUUGUAAAAGAUGAAAAUCGGGGACCAACUCUUGAAGUUGUAGUCAGCAGAAUGAAAACUGUACAGUCUUUAUCUCCUCCUUCAGAAAAUAGUACAGUUAUUCCAAUGAGAUUUGUAGCUGUGUCUGCAACGAUUCCAAAUGCUGAGGAUAUUGCAGAAUGGCUUUCAGAUGGUGAAAGACCUGCAGUAUGUUUGAAAAUGGAUGAGAAACAUAGGCCAGUGAAACUUCAGAAAGUGGUCCUUGGAUUCCCCUGCGGAAGUAACCAAACUGAAUUUAAGUUUGAUUUAACCCUCAACUACAAAAUUGCUGGUGUUAUACGAACAUACUCUGAUCAGAAACCCACACUUGUGUUUUGUGCAACAAGGAAAGGUGUGCAACAGGCUGCUUCUGUUCUAGUGAAAGAUGCCAAAUUUAUUAUGGCUGUGGAACAGAAACAGAGGUUACAGAAGUAUGCAUAUUCCAUAAGAGAUUCAAAACUGAGAGAUAUCUUAAUACAUGGUGUUGCUUAUCAUCAUGCUGGUAUGGAGCUGUCAGAUAGAAAAGUAGUUGAAGGAGCUUUCACUGUUGGAGAUCUACCAGUUCUUUUUACUACCAGUACUUUAGCUAUGGGAGUAAAUUUGCCUGCUCACCUAGUAGUUAUAAAAUCUACAAUGCAUUAUGCUGGAGGAAUGUUUGAAGAAUAUAGUGAAACAGAUAUUCUACAGAUGAUUGGUAGAGCUGGUCGACCUCAAUUCGAUACUACAGCUACUGCAGUUAUUAUGACUCGGUUAAGUACAAAAGAGAAGUAUAUUCAGAUGUUAGCUUGUAGUGACACUGUAGAAAGCAGUUUACACAGACAUCUUAUCGAACAUUUAAAUGCAGAGAUAGUGUUACAUACCAUCACAGAUGUGAAUAUUGCUUUGGAAUGGAUACGAUCAACUUUGCUUUAUAUCAGAGCCUUGAAAAAUCCAUCUCAUUAUGGUUUUGCAUCUGGAUUGAACAAAGAUGGAAUUGAAGCAAAAUUACAAGAAUUAUGUUUGAAGAAUCUGCAUGAUUUAUCAUCUCUGGACUUGAUAAGGAUGGAUGAAGAUGUUAAUUUCAAACCUACUGAGGCAGGAAGAUUGAUGGCUUGGUAUUACAUUACAUUUGAGACAGUGAAGAAAUUUUGUACUAUCAGUGGAAAAGAGACUUUAUUAGAUCUGGUCACGAUGAUAUCCAGCUGCAAGGAAUUUGUAGAUGUGCAGUUAAGGAUAAAUGAAAAGAAAAUAUUGAAUACUUUGAACAAAGAUCCAAAUAGAGUAACUAUCAGAUUUCCAAUGGAAGGAAGAAUUAAAACAAGAGAAAUGAAAAUAAAUUGUCUUAUACAGGCUCAACUAGGAUGCAUUCCCAUACAAGACUUUGCUUUGACACAAGAUAUCUCGAAGAUUUUUAGAAAUGGCUCACGAAUUACAAGAUGGUUGUCAGAUUUUGUGGCUGUUCAAGAAAAGUUUGCUAUAUUAUUGAACAGUUUGAUUUUAGCUAAAUGUUUUAGAUGCAAACUUUGGGAAAACUCUCUACAUGUAUCCAAACAGCUGGAAAAAAUAGGUAUAACAUUGUCAAAUGCAAUGGUAAAUGCAGGUUUGACUUCCUUUAAAAAAAUAGAAGAAACAGAUGCAAGGGAACUUGAACUGAUUUUAAAUAGACACCCCCCUUUUGGAACGCAAAUAAAAGAAACAGUGAUGUAUCUACCAAAAUAUGAAGUUGAAGUGGAACAGAUUGCAAGAUACAGUGAUACCAUGGCAGAAAUAUUAGUGACAAUUAUAUUAAGAAACUUUGAACAGCUACAAGCUAGAAGAACAUCACCAGAUUCUCACUAUGUUACCUUAAUCAUAGGUGAUGCAGAUAACCAGCUGGUUUUUAAGCACAAAAUUAUGGAUUCUGUUUUAUUAAAAGCUGGAAAUUGGACUAAAAAGAUUGAUGUGAGGAGAGCUUUUAAAUCUGAAGAUCUUAGCAUAAAUCUAAUUAGUUCUGAGUAUGUUGGACUUGAUAUUCAGCAGAAAUUUACAGUCUUUUACUUAGGACCCAGGAGGCUUGGAAAUCAAAUAAUUAUGCAAAAAAAAUCAGAAACAGAGAUUUCCCAUUCUAAACAUUCAAAUAGAUCUACUAUAGCAGGACCCAAUAAAGAUUUAGGAAUGACUGCUUGCAGAAAACCUGGGAACCGAGAAUGUAAUCAUCACUGUAAAAAUAAACACACAUGUGGACAUGACUGCUGUAAAACUGGAGUGGCACAAAAGUCAGAAACAAAAGAGCCAACAAUCUCUUCAUAUUUAUCUGAUUUAAGAAACAGGAAUGCUGUUUCAUCACUUCCUCCAGUUAAACGUCUCAAGAUGCAAAUGAAUAAAUCUCGAAGUGUGGACCUUAAAGAAUUUGGUUUUACUCCAAAACCUUCUGUUCCCAGUAUAUCAAGGUCAGAGUGUUUAAACAUACCUGGAUUGUCUGUAAUGGAGGAGAGGGAUCAGCGUGAUUUCUGUGUAAAAGUUCAACAAGAACCGUCUGAAUAUGAAGACAAAGAUUUCUCUAGAUGGAACUAUUCUGCAACUUCAAAUGAGAAAUCCCCUCAAACAGUGCUGUUCAACAGACAUCUUAAUGCAUCUGGAAACCAAAAUUUGACAGAUGGGGAUAAAAGUAAUUCUCCAUCCUCAGAAGUUUUGAAUGUGAACUUUGAAUUGGGAAAUGAAGUUUGGGAUGAUUUUGAUGAUGAGAACUUAUUAGAAGUUACUAGUUUUUCAGCCAGUACUGAGAAGACAAAAACAUCAGGAUUUGGAAACACUUUGAGUUCAAGUACCAGGGGAAGUAAGCUAUUGCUCCAAGAGCCAAAGAGCAAAUUCCAAGGAGAAAUGACAAAAAGUUUUGUUUCAUCACAUGGGAAGCCAGAUACUUAUUUAUCAAAUUCUCCUGUAUUCGAGUUUGAUACAUCCUCCCUGACGAAAUUACCUCAACAAGCUGGAAAUACAACUAUUGUCCAUUCACAAGAAAGAAAACAACAAAAUCUGUCACCAGAGAUUGGAAAGCUAUGCUUUACUCACUCUAAAAAAAUACCAAAUUCUUCACAUUUUGUUAAGAAAGUGGAUUUCUUUAUUAGAAACAAUGAAUGUAAAGAGGAAAUUGAUUUCAGCAUGUCAAUUCCUGGCUGCUGCUAGUUCCAGGCCUUGCCUCUCAGUAUCAGAUCCAAAGACCGAUAAUAGAAGAAACUCCUUGGAGCUGGUGUUAGAAGUUCUCAGGCCUCACUCCAGAGCUUCUGAGUCAUAAUCUGCAUUUUGACAAGGUCCCUGUCUGCAUUACAUCUUCCUGAACAGAAUUUACUUACCCAAAAACAACAUGAUACCCAUCUGAAUGAGAAGUUGGUUUUCUGGUUAUGAAGAACUAUGAACCUUUUGUAUCCUUCCCCUUGUCACUGAUAAGAGAGAUUCUCUGUUGUGCUUAACAGGGAAACUCUCAUCUUUAAAAUAUUUUCUGUUACUAGAUUCCCCUUCUUCAAUUUCUUCACUGAAGUCGCCAUCUGAACCAUAAAAUCUUUGACAAUGCUGCAAAACUGAAAACUCUUAUAGUAUAAUGGCUUCUGAGUUACUUUCCCUGACCCCUUUUCACCUGUAAAAGACAAUAAAAGUUAUCUGUGUUUGGGAGAACAUCAAAAAAAAAUUCAAAGACAGCUCUUCCAGCAGGUUGAUUAAAAAUGGCAAUGUCAAAACAAACAAACUUGCAAAACAUUGAGGAUGCUGAAUCUUUGUUCCAAUGGCUCCAAUACUUCAAUCGUUAGAUAGAGAACAAUCAAGAACAAGUUGAUUCAAUCAAGGACAACUGAUCCAAUCCUUUCACUCCUGCACUGGUAGAUACACUCUUUUUUUCUUGGGGUACUGUCCUUUAAAGCACUUCAAGUCUAUAGCUGCCCAGAAAAGGCAAUGAAGCCCACUACUACAGUCAUAUUUACUGACUAAAUCACUACAAAAGUUUUAUUUUACUUUUAAAAUUAAUUUUUCUUUCCAUUAUUAUCUGAUACAUUUUUAAAUAAGAGAAAUAAUUGAAUGGUACAAUAAAAAAAAAACCCUUAGAUUCUAGUUCAAAAUUUCAACUUACAGGACUGGAAAAGAGCCCACCAAAAUAUUA